ACGGAAGGCAGCAGUGGGGAAUAUUGGGCAAUGGGCGCAAGCCUGACCCAGCAACGCCGCGUGAAGGAAGAAGGCCUUCGGGUUGUAAACUUCUUUUAUCAGGGACGAAGAAUGUGACGGUACCUGAUGAAUAAGCCACGGCUAACUACGUGCCAGCAGCCGCGGUAAUACGUAGGUGGCAAGCGUUAUCCGGAUUUACUGGGUGUAAGGGCGCGUAGGCGGGGAUGCAAGUCAGGUGUGAAAUCUAUGGGCUUAACCCAUAAACUGCAUUUGAAACUGUAUCUCUUGAGUGUCGGAGAGGUAGAUGGAAUUCCUAGUGUAGCGGUGAAAUGCGUAGAUAUUAGGAGGAACACCAGUGGCGAAGGCGAUCUACUGGACGAUAACUGACGCUGAGGCGCGGAAGCGUGGGGAGCAAACAGGAUUAGAUACCCUGGUA
rnacentral:rRNA from 1 species